UACGGAGGGUGCAAGCGUUAUCCGGAUUCACUGGGUUUAAAGGGUGCGUAGGCGGGCAGAUAAGUCAGUGGUGAAAUCUCUGGGCUUAACCCAGAAACUGCCGUUGAUACUAUAGGUCUUGAAUAUCCUGGAGGUGAGCGGAAUAUGUCAUGUAGCGGUGAAAUGCUUAGAUAUGACAUAGAACACCGAUAGCGAAGGCAGCUUGCUACACAAUUAUUGACACUGAGGCUCGAAAGCGUGGGGAUCAAACAGG
rnacentral:rRNA from 1 species